GGAAAACAUCACAUGAAGAGUAUAUAAAGGUUGCUGAUAUUGAAAAUAUCUGAAAUAGUUGAAGCAUAUGCUGGUCGCUCCUUUAUCAUAUUUGUUUUUGCAAAAACUUUUAGAAGUUUAAUCAUCUUUUACACGAUUAAAAAACAUGCUUAAUUUUUUAAGGUGAUAAUUCAGGGGCUAGAAGUGCCAAAGGAGCCAUCUUAUCUUUGAUAAUUGGGAUAAAAUUAUUCCUCUGCACGUACUUAAGAGCCUAUUUGGGUUGGCUUAUUUUUGGUUCUUUUAAGUCAAGAUAGGCCCAUCCAAAUGGGCUCUUAAAGCAUUUCUUCUGGAGUCGCAUCUAUAAGUAUAUUUUUUUUUUCCUCUUUCGACGAUAUCUGGUCCAUAAAUGUGUUGACUAAAAUCAGUAGAUGUGUGCAUUUUCAUUUUUAUUUUAUUUUAGCUUCUUGGUAUAUCAGGGAAAUUGUAACAUCCAUUCAGGACUGUUUGAGUAUUUUGGAGUUGGAGAGUUAGGCUUGAAGGAGAAAGAGUUUAGGGCAAAACUUUGAGCUCAAUUUUAAAGUUAAUAUUCAUUUUAGACUAUUCUUCAAAUUUUUUGUACUCUUCUCUUGAUUAUUGUUGUCAUGAGUUCUUUAGGCGGAGAUGUGGGAUUGUUUUACUCUAAUUUUCUCUAUAUAAAUCAUAUACUCUACAUAGUCCGCUAAUUUUAGAAGGUUAGCACACUAUUUAUUCUGUAUUUAGCUUAAUUCUUUUGGGGAUAAUAUUUGGGUAAAAUAGAAGAAACUGAAUGUUUGAAGGAAAAUUCUUCAAGAACAGUGAGCAGGAAGGUAUGUAAUUCUUUUGCUUUUCAAUUUGUUAAUAGGAGUAUCAAUAUGCUAUAUGUGCUUCCUGAUUCUCUGUUAGGAAAAACUAAAAAUCUUCAGGUUUUUUUUCUAAGAUAUUGUUGUAGGGAGAGACAACAGGCAAUGUGAUAGAGAAAUUUUUAAAAAAAUAAUAUGAUGAUUCCUUAUUGUAGAGGAGAUUCACAAAUUUAACUGUAGUUAAGAUACAAAUUACAGUUUCAAAUAAAUUUCAUGACUGAAUUACGAAUAUAAAGUCUGCCCUUUUUUUUUUCGAGGGGUCGGCACUGUUGAUUUUCCAGAGAAAGUCUUAUGAAUUCAAGAAGUUCUUUCCUCAAAAGGUUCAUUCUGCAAUUUGUGGAUGCAAUUAUUUAAAUUUCAUGUCUUUUAUUUCAUUUAGUCGGAAUAAUUUUGAAGAAAGUCCACCACUUCAACUAUGAAGAGGUAAUUUGUGUGUUCUAUUCACGCUGUUGAACCAUGAAUAGCUCAUGUUAUGUGUUUCUCCGAAUAGUCAUAUGCCUUACUGAUAGUUUUGUACCUUUGAAAGUAUCGCCAUUUUGUUCCUAUCAUUGUUAAUUUUUUCUUUUGGUUCUGAUGUUAUAUGCUGCGGUAUGAUGAUAAAUAGUUGUAAUUGAUAUUUCAUGCUAUAUCGUAUCAGAUGUGUGCGGUGUACGAAUAAAAGUUUAAACUUACAAUUGAACUUGUAUAAAUUUUGUGAAACAUUUACAAACUGUUUUUGUUUUCUUUAUUUCCUUGCCACAGGAAUUUCCUCCUGAUGCUAUCCAACCUCUUGAUAAUCCCUGCUGGAAUUGGGAACUGAUACAUCAUAUAUGUUGGUAGGGCAUCAAGGACUGAGUUGAUGAGUGUCACUCUACCCCUCAAGGACAAAUAUUGGCUCUUCCAUCUGGCUAAUUUCCUCUCAGGCCAUCCAUGAAUCAUCUGGAAAAUGCUAUGGCAGGCAUGUUGCGAAUUAUCUCUGGUAUUAUCUUGCUUUGGUGAUGGUGUGAGACAACCUGAGAAGCUUAUGCUUUUCACGUUUCAGUAUCCGAGAGCAAAACUGUCACCUGUGACAGUGGUAACGACCGAACUGUCAUCCCUAACAGUGGUAACAAAACUGUCUCUAGCAUCAACAUAAAGUUGCUUAUGUGGUCCUUGAAUUACGAAGCAAGCUUAAGACGUCUAAAUGUGUUGUAUUAGAUAAUUCAACUUAUACUCUUUAGUAAAGAAGCUGAGUUAGUUCCAUUGAUUCUGUUCUGAAAA